AGGACGAACGCUGGCGGCGUGCUUAACACAUGCAAGUCGAGCGGAAAGGCCCUUCGGGGUACUCGAGCGGCGAACGGGUGAGUAACACGUGAGUAAUCUGCCCCUAGCUCUGGGAUAGCUCCGGGAAACCGGGAUUAAUACCGGAUACGACCACCUUAGACAUCUUUUGUGGUGGAAAGAAUUUCGGCUAGGGAUGAGCUCGCGGCCUAUCAGCUUGUUGGUGGGGUAACGGCCUACCAAGGCGACGACGGGUAGCCGGCCUGAGAGGGCGACCGGCCACACUGGGACUGAGACACGGCCCAGACUCCUACGGGAGGCAGCAGCGGGGAAUAUUGCGCAAUGGGCGAAAGCCUGACGCAGCGACGCCGCGUGGGGGAUGAAGGCCUUCGGGUUGUAAACCCCUUUCAGCAGGGACGAAGCGAAGUGACGGUACUGCAGAGAAGCGCCGGCUAACUACGUGCCAGCAGCCGC
rnacentral:rRNA from 1 species